rnacentral:rRNA from 1 species
AGCCUGGCCACUGAUUGAAUUUAAAGGGCCGCGGUAUACUGACCGUGCGAAGGUAGCAUAAUCAUUAGUCUUUUAAUUGAAGGCUUGUAUGAAUGGUUGGACAAAAAGUAAGCUGUCUCAGUUAUAAUAAUUGAAUUUAACUUUUAAGUGAAAAGGCUUAAAUGGAUUAAGGGGACGAUAAGACCCUAUAAAGCUUGACAAUAAGUUAAUUAUAUUAUAAAUUGUUAGUAUAACUUGAUUUUAAUUGACGUUUGUUACGUUGGGGCGACGAGAAUAUAAUGAGUAACUGUUCUUAAAUGUUUAUUGACAAAUAUAAUUGGUAUUUGAUUGAUCCUUUAUUAAAGAUUAAAAGAUUAAGUUACUUUAGGGAUAACAGCGUAAUCUUCUUUGAGAGUUCAUAUCGACAAGAAGGUUUGCGACCUCGAUGUUGAAUUAAGGUAUCCUUAUGAUGCAGCAGUUAUAAAGG